GACGAACGCUGGCGGCGUGCUUAACACAUGCAAGUCGAACGGAAAGGCCCUGCUUUUGUGGUGUGCUCGAGUGGCGAACGGGUGAGUAACACGUGAGUAACCUGCCCUUGACUUUGGUAUAACUUCAGGAAACUGGGGCUAAUACCGGAUAGGAGCUCCUGCUGCAUGGUGGGGGUUGGAAAGUUUCGGCGGUUGGGGAUGGACUCGCGGCUUAUCCGCUUGUUGGUGGGGUAGUGGCUUACCAAGGCUUUGACGGGUAGCCGGCCUGAGAGGGUGACCGGCCACAUUGGGACUGAGAUACGGCCCAGACUCCUACGGGAGGCAGCAGUGGGGAAUAUUGCACAAUGGGCGGAAGCCUGAGGCAGCAACGCCGCGUGCGGGAUGACGGCCUGCGGGUUGUAAACCGCUUUCGCCUGUGACGAAGCGUGAGUGACGGUAAUGGGUAAAGAAGCACCGGCUAACUACGUG
rnacentral:rRNA from 1 species